UGUUGUUUUUUCACAGGAGACGUUGGA
rnacentral:piRNA from 1 species